AUUUGUCCGAGAUAUUUAUUAUCGCUGCUGAUGACGUGGCGGUACUUUGCCACGUGUAAAAGCGACGCCAUGUGGGACAUUCCUUGUCUUUAAGGGGUCUAUCUCAAGCAAGAGACGUAAUUUGUGUUUUGUUCUUUUGCGUUGAGAGAGAGAGAGAGCACCGAUGGAGAAUGAGUACGAGGAGGCGAAUACUGUUUCUCGCGUCGCGGCUGAGUCUCAGAGCGAGUCGCUCGAGUCCGGUCUCACGGUUGAGAGCGCUCGUGGCGAUGCCGAUUCGAAGAAACUGGAUGAGUGUGGUGGAUGGACGAAUGAGAAACACAACUUGUAUCUUGAUUCUUUGGAGAACUCUUUUGUUAAGCAGUUGUAUUCCUUGCUUGGAGUAGGAGGAGAGACUCAGAGGCUGAGUAGAACUCGUGGUCUGCAGUCUAACUCUCACAAAUUGACUGAUCAGUUUACGGUACUACAAAAUGGUUACCGGCAGAAAGUUAGCUUUGGGAAAAAACGAGCUCAUUUGGAGACGUCAUCUGAUUACGCGAUGAGAACUGCUGUCCAAGGAAACAUAUUGCGCAGCGAAGAAAUCAAAAGUUCUGGUGAUAAGCCUUUUACUAGAACAAAUUAUUUGGUGCAUGAGUAUCCAGCUCAAAGCACUGCAGAAGGCUUUUGCUGCAGAAACAUAGAGUUGAUAUGACCUGUGGGGGAUCAAAGAAAUGAUUGUUGCUACAAAGGACAUAUAUGAGUCUGAGAUCUGAGGCGUCAGGGCAGAAUUUCAGAGAAGAAGAAGUAGAAGAGAAGGGAUGUAACUCGGAGGUAUCCAGGAAACGCAGAAGAGCAGCUAAUUAUGAUGAUAGUUCAUUGAAUGAUCAGGUUGUGCCGUAAUGGUGGUGAAGCCCCAGAAUGUGAGACAAAUGAUAUAAAGCAAUAGGAAAUGAAGUGUAGAUGAAGUACUAUAAAUAGAGAAAAAAAUAGGAACUGUAUGAGUGAGAGAAUGAACGUGGAGGGACGUUUUGUUUGUUGUAUAGUAUGAUGAGGCUAAAGACAGCCUUGUCGAAUGGGAAUGAAAUUAGUAUUUUGAUAUAUUAUCAUCAUUUCUUCCA